rnacentral:rRNA from 1 species
CCGCGGUAAUACAGAGGUCCCAAGCGUUGUUCGGAUUCACUGGGCGUAAAGGGUGCGUAGGCGGUGGGGUAAGUUUGAGGUGAAAUCUCCGGGCUCAACCCGGAAAUUGCCUUGAAGACUAUCCUGCUAGAGGAUCGGAGGGGAGACUGGAAUUCUCGGUGUAGCAGUGAAAUGCGUAGAUAUCGAGAGGAACACCAGUGGCGAAGGCGAGUCUCUGGACGAUUCCUGACGCUGAGGCACGAAAGCCAGG